rnacentral:rRNA from 1 species
AGUCGAACGGUAACAGGAAGCAGCUUGCUGCUCCGCUGACGAGUGGCGGACGGGUGAGUAAUGUCUGGGAAACUGCCUGAUGGAGGGGGAUAACUACUGGAAACGGUAGCUAAUACCGCAUAACGUCGCAAGACCAAAGAGGGGGACCUUCGGGCCUCUUGCCAUCGGAUGUGCCCAGAUGGGAUUAGCUAGUAGGUGGGGUAACGGCUCACCUAGGCGACGAUCCCUAGCUGGUCUGAGAGGAUGACCAGCCACACUGGAACUGAGACACGGUCCAGACUCCGUACGGAAGGCAGCAGUGGGGAAUAUUGCACAGUGGGCGCAAGCCUGAUGCAGCCAUGCCGCGUGUAUGCAGAAGGCCUUCGGGUUGUAAAGUACUUUCAGCGGGGAGGAAGGCGACAGGGUUAAUAACCCUGUCGAUUGACGUUACCCGCAGAAGAAGCACCGGCUAACUCCGUGCCAGCAGCCGCGGUAAUACGGAGGGUGCAAGCGUUAAUCGGAAUUACUGGGCGUAAAGCGCACGCAGGCGGUCUGUCAAGUCGGAUGUGAAAUCCCCGGGCUCAACCUGGGAACUGCAUUCGAAACUGGCAGGCUAGAGUCUUGUAGAGGGGGGUAGAAUUCCAGGUGUAGCGGUGAAAUGCGUAGAGAUCUGGAGGAAUACCGGUGGCGAAGGCGGCCCCCUGGACAAAGACUGACGCUCAGGUGCGAAAG